rnacentral:rRNA from 2 species
UUAAAUUGAAGAGUUUGAUCAUGGCUCAGAUUGAACGCUGGCGGCAGGCCUAACACAUGCAAGUCGAACGGUAACAGGAAACAGC